rnacentral:rRNA from 1 species
GACGAACGCUGGCGGCGGGCUUAACACAUGCAAGUCGAACGGAAAGGCCCUGCUUUUGUGGGGUGCUCGAGUGGCGAACGGGUGAGUAACACGGGAGUAACCUGCCCUUGACUUUGGGAUAACUUCAGGAAACUGGGGCUAAUACCGGAUAGGAGCUCCUGCUGCAUGGUGGGGGUUGGAAAGUUUCGGCGGUUGGGGAUGGACUCGCGGCUUAUCAGCUUGUUGGUGGGGUAGUGGCUUACCAAGGCUUUGACGGGUAGCCGGCAUGAGAGGGUGACCGGCCACAUUGGGACUGAGAUACGGCCCAGACUCCUACGGGAGGCAGCAGUGGGGAAUAUUGCACAAUGGGCGGAAGCCUGAUGCAGCAACGCCGCGUGCGGGAUGACGGCCUUCGGGUUGUAAACCGCUUUCGCCUGUGACGAAGCGUGAGUGACGGUAAUGGGUAAAGAAGCACCGGCUAACUACGUG